CGCCGCGCCCAGGCCGCCCCUGCAGGCCGAAAACAAGUGUUUAAAAGCCUGUCGUGAACAAAAGAAAAACAGACCCGAAAACAGAACCCCCAAAACGACGUUAUUUAAGUAGAGAAUCUCCCUGAGAGAGCAGGGCUCAGAGGAGGAGCAGAUACCCCUUCACCGGAAUAAGACAAUGUUGAAUACUGGGCCUCAUGUAAGCCAGGCAGGACAGAUGUUACCAAGAUGGAAUCAUUUCACACCAGCACUCACAUACUAAAACAUUAUUACUUAAUAAUGGAAACUAACACUGGAUCAUACAGAAGAAAUCUGUGUAAUGAACAAAAAUAACGUUCUGAGGUCUGUGCUCUGCCACCUCUAAAUCCAUGGAAUUUGGGUCUUGCACUGCAUAAGAGAGAGGGAGUGGAAGUCCUGGAAUGUUUCCUACAUACUGGCCUUCUCACUUAUGUGUCAUGGUCAUCGGAUCUGUAAAACUUUGUCUCACAUCUGCAGGAUGCCAUAUGAUGAAACUCAGUGGCUCAGAUAGCCACGUGUGUCCUAUUCAGACAUCUCCUCCUAUUCAAAGGCAACAACCUUCAAUCAAACAUGCAGAUUAGACAGGUUAUGUUAAUGAACUGCUUUAGGAAUCCCAGCUACACUUUCUGUUAGAUAUGCGGCUUAAUAGUAAGGCAAUUAGAAAUGCAGAGCUGGAGGGUACAGUUGAAUUUUUGAGUCCAGUAGCUCAUAUGACAAGUAACCAUGCCACGUGAUAUCCUUUAAAAGCUGUGGAAACUUCACCUUAAAAUUAGUUUGUUUGGUUUUUUUCUUUGCUAGUCCACUUGUAAGGCAAUUUGCCUCUCAAAGGCUUAUUGCAUUGUUUAGAAACAGUGAAAUUUACUCAUUUAAUGAUGCCAUAAUGCAUACUGCAGUACUUUUGGAGGCAUCCAUAUCAGAUCUUCAUCAGUGUAAUAGUUAAAAAGGCAACUGCUGCUUUUCUUAGGCUGCAGGAGUAGGAAGUCUUGUUCAAAAGCAAAACCAUAGAAGGACAGAUAUUGCAUAGUCCUGAGAGAAGGUGUUCUUGUUCAACAAGACCAGCAAGGAUGUAACGUGGUGCCCAAAGUAUUAACAAGUACAAGUUUUAUUUGCAAGUGAGAUUACCAUUGCACAUUGUUUAGAAAUACACUGUAUUAAUGUUUUAUUGAAUGUUUUGUCAGUAUUUUUGUAAUUUCUAAGAAAGUAAUUCAUUUUUGCAUACAAAUAGCAUUGUUACUGCAUUGUUAUAAUAAAAAUUUACAUAUUGUUA